CAACCUAGUUGACGAGUGAAAGGUGCAAUGCAGGUCGGCUUCAAAGUUCAAAUAAUCCUAGCAGAAAAAACCCAUCCUCUUCUCUUAAUUAAAUUCUCAAUUUUCACAGUAUUAACAAAUUUAGGAAUUAGGGUUUUCUCUGAAAUUUCAUGAGAAAUCCCCUCAAAAUUCAUCGAAGAUGAUCGAGAUGGUGUUGAACGAUCGUUUAGGGAAGGUGGUGUGCGUGAAGUGCAACGACGACGACACCAUCGGAGACUUGAAAAAGCUGGUGGCGGUUCAAACCGGUACCCGAGCAGACAAGAUACGAAUCCAGAAACGUAACAUCAGCUGCAUUUACUUUCUGAGUCUGCCACAUCCCAACUACGAUAAAGACAACGAGGGCAAGCAGACGCCAAUGAAAGGAGCCAAUGCUUUGCAAUAACCAUUGCAGCAAUCAUCCGAAUAAAUGCAGUAGGCAAUGUCGAGAAAGCAUUCCUCGACAGCAACUAGAGUGACCGCUGCUAAAAGUAUGUUGCCAUUACAAUUCAAUCUCUUCAUUGACUUUUUAAUUUGAAUAUCAAGUUCAUUUCAUCA